CCCUGCUCUUGUAAGCAGGAACGUGUUCUCCAAAAGAACAUGCAGAGAUAACUGAAAAAUGGUGGGCUCUUUGCUAGGGAUGUUUUUGUUCUGAUAGGAUCCCAUUCGAAAGCACUUACAACCUGAUUGUGAUUGUAUGUGUUGGCAUGUGGGCUUUUGUGAUACAUGGCUGCAGGAAAGUGUUCUCUUUCUGGCCUGUUGAUCCAAUUAACCACAUCAGCACAAAAUGGUAUGAGGUGUUUCUCCUUUAUAGCCCAUGCUGUUGGUUUGAGCUUCAAGCUGCUGUCUUCUGCAGUGUAACUAAUAAACCCCAUGUAUAUAAGUAUUUUAUAAAGCACUUCAAGAAUCACUGCCAAAUCCCAGACUCUGAGGAUGUGGCAUCUGCUCUCCCAGCUAGGCAGCCCUCACUCUCUACAAAUACAGUCUGUCCAUAAGCAGACAAUUCCGGGGCCCUUCUUGACUUCUGGAUCCUCUUUAUUAAUAAGGCAUCGUCACUGAAAAGUCAUUGGGCUGCCUGGGGGCUGCAUAGUGUCCUUCCAUACUGUCUCAAGAGAGCUCUAAUGCUGUGGGUGCUCCCGAAACAAUCCCACCCCUGAAUAUGAAUAAGAUUGCCUUAAAAUCUGAUUGCGGAGAGGAAUGAUGUAGGUGUGUGACAUUUUUAUCCAGAAGCCUGUUCUGAGGACUGUCCUGUUUAGUUGAAAUUACUCAGUCAGAGGGAGUAUUACCAAGUGUUAGCCCUGCAGAACUGGGCCCCCAUGUCCUAAGAGCCACUUUCAGUCAGAGCUCGGCUAAAAUCAAUGGACUUGUGUCAAGUUACUGUAGCUGAGGGUUUGUCUCCUAAGCUUUUCCUUGCUGUACUGCCUCUUCAUCGCAUGAAUACGGAUUGUGCCAGAACUUUUCCCAUCUUUUAGCAUUGGGGGUUUAGUGGUGGGCAUGGGGUUUUGGUGGAUGUUUUUGUCAUUUAGAUUAUGCAGGUAAGCCCUCCAGAGAUGGAUUCUUUAAGAAUCUGGUCUCUCUCUCUCUCUGCUUUCUCAAGAUGAGUGGAAGCUGUGUUCUGCAGCAGAUGGCACCAUUGUUUGUGUUUGGAGGUUAGUUUUACUCUAAUACAAAAUUCCUUCAAACUGUCUUGGUUGCCAAGAAAAGUCAUCUUAGCUCACUAGUGGAUCCAGUAUAUAGUUAUAGUUCUUUUUGCUUCUAAAACCUUACAUUUGAAUAUACUGUAGUACCUAUUAGUGAACUGUUACUGUGAACGUUAAACAUUUAAACAUCUUGAAAGCUAAAAAAUUAACGUCUUGGCAUGUUAAACAUCUUAUAUGCUUCAGACAGAAAUCUGAAUAUCUGUGUCUAGUUCCUCGUGCCUUAAGUCAAGAAAAUCCUCCAGGUCAUGCUCAAUUCUAGAAGAGCUGGACUAGGGAGCUUCCAGGCAGUAUUGACAGCCAGUGUAGCAGUUUAAUUUAAGUUCUGAGAGCUCUGUAUUUCUCUUGACUUUUGCACCUUCAGGUUUAGAGCAGAUACAAUGAGGUAGAUGUUCUACAUAUGAGAGCAUCUCAUCGGCUUCUGAGUACCAACCAGCCAAGGUGGGAUUUAGCAGAAUUUCUUCAUUUUCACAAGUACUGUCUUCUGCACUCAUUUUGGCUUGGGUGCUUAAUAUUUAUUCCAAAAGUAGUCUUUAACCUGUGCAUUGUCUUUGAGUGAAGAUUAUAUCUGUAUACAUUUAUUUAUUGUGGAGAGAAACUCUGCAAAGCUAUAGUUUAAUUAUGCCCAAAGAGAUCUGCACACAUCACAGCUUGAAUGAUGGGAAAAUCCAGAUGAUACUGUCAAGACUGUGACAGGUCCAGGGAAGGGUUGGGAAACUCAAAGUAAAAGACAAGGAUGGUAAAUUGUAGUCAGCGUAGAAAUUGUUGGAAGUGCUACAAUAGCAAUAAAAAAAAAUGUAACCUUAACAGACCUUGGAGGAAAAUUGCAGGGCCUUUGGCUUUAGUAAUUAAGCAACCUCAGCAAAUCAGUCACUCACAUAAUGCGCCAAGUUCUUAAUAGAUACGUCAAUCCAUUAUGUUCAUGCAUGGCAGCCUGCUUGCAGUUUAGCUUCUUGCCACAAAAAUCUGUUUCUUAAGUGUUUAACACUUUUCUAUUUGAAGUUAGCUUAUGCUGUAAAUUAUAUAAGCAAUUUUUCACAAGGAAAAGAAAUGAACAUUAAUCUCAAAAGCUUAAAACUAUAAAACCACUUUUUUAUUCCUAUAAUUGUUUUUUGUUGAUGUUGUUUUCACUGGUUUCUUUGUCAUCCUCUGAGCUUUGGCACCACUGACACUUUACUGCUUAUUUUUGUGGUAAGUGGAAUGACACUUUUCCAGUCAUUGCACAGCAUGCUGCAGCUUUACAGAACUGCAGACAGCCUAAACACUUCUGCCUUGCUCAAAAUCUACAGUGCACUUUUUGGAUUCUCUCCUGAAUAUGAAUUCCCAUCUUCAUAUUCUCCUGAAUAUAAAUUCCCACAGCCAUUUAAGCUUUUCUAAAUGUGUUUGUCCAUUGAAAAGAUACAUUGAGCGUUAAACAUGCACUUAAAGUGUCAUCUUAAGUGAGCAUAAAAGAGAAUAAUGAGGUAUUUUAAAUGGCCACAGUAGACUCAUUUCUUCUUUCCCUCAGAGGAAGCAUCAUCCUUAAGAUCCUGUAUUCACAUACACAUUAUUGGCACUGCUGCUUGCGCACUGAAUGUGGGCUCAAGGGGAAGCAGUAACUCUGCAGCGGACCCUGAACUGGUGCUUCAGGAUGGCAGAAUUUUUUCUAAACGAAGGAAAGGAUGGGUUUCAGCCUAAUGAGCAUUCCUCCAAAACUCCUCAAAAGCACUCUAGGCAGUUCUGAGUAGUUCUGAGCAGCUAUAAUAUUCCUUUAAAAAGCGCUAAAGUCCUAUAAACUGCACUGACAUUCCUCUAAACUGCCUCCAAGUAGCUCUAGAAAUCCUCUAAGCUGUCCUAAGCAGUUCUAAGCAGCUGCUCCAAGCAGCUCUCAGCAGCUCUCAAAUUCCUCUGAACUAAUCUAGAACUUCUUUUACUGGUCUGAAGACCUCUGAAUUUCCUUUAGACCUCUAAAACUCCUUGGAGAUUCUCUGAGAUGCUCAAAGCAUCCCUCUAAAACAUCACUAGACAGCUCCAAAACACCUCUAAAGAACUCUUGCAGAGCUCUAAUACUCUGCUCCAAGAAAUCUUUUAAAAGCAUUUAACUGAUUCUAAAAUACGCUAGAAUGCCUCUAAACCUGUCUGUAUUUCUUUAAGCAACUCUAAAAUACCUCUAAAAUGCACUAAGUUGUUGUACAACAUAUCUAAACAGCUGUAAAACUCCUAAUCAGGUAUAUAAAACUGUGAGCAACUGUAAACUCCUUUAAAACCUCUACCUCUCUGAAAACCCUCUAAACAAUUCUAAUCUCAUCUAAAAUUCCUCUACGCUGCUCUAAGCAGCACUAAACUGCCUCAAAAUAGUUCUCAAACACUUCUCGACCUCCUUGCAACUGUGACAACUGUUCUAGAACACCUCUAAGUAGUCAAACUCCUUUAAAACUCCUCUAAACAGCCCUCAAAUUUCACUAAUCAGCCCUAAAAUUCCUCUAAACUGUUCUAAAAUAUCUAAACUACUCCAAGCAGCCCUGUGACUCCUCUAUAACAGAAAUGCUGUUUAGAGAAGCAGCACUAAAACUUCUCUGAAGUCCUUUAAAAUUUAACUGCUGUAAGCAACUCCACAGCUCUCCUAAACUGAUCUAAACCUUUAAAGCUUCAAUGAGCAGUUCUAAGCAGGUCUGAACUCCUGUGCAGUGCUCUAAACUCCUGUAAAGCAUUCUAAACAACUGUUAACUCCUUUACAGUUUUUUUCUAAACCUCUUCUAAAAAACUCAGAGCACCUCUAAACUGAUCUACAGCUCUUCUAUGCUCCAUAAGCAGCACUAAAAUGCCUCUAAACCUCCUCUAGAUAACUCUGGACUCCUCUGAACAGCUCUAGUAUUCCUCUAAACAACUCUAAGCAGCUCUAAGACCUCGCUGUGCUGAUCUCUAACACCUACGAACUGUUCUAAGCAGCUCAGAAAUGCUCUAAACCACUGUAAAACUGCUCUGAAAUGCUCUCAACAGCACUAAGCAUUUCUAAGAUCUCUUAAACUACUCCGAAACUCUUCUGAACUUCUAAAUGGCUCUACGCAGCACUGAGCUGCCUCUGAACCUCCCUAAAGGAGGUUUUUCUGUUCUUCAAGUUACAGGAAUGCUGUUAAAAGACAAAAGAAAAAGAAGACAGAGCCAGACUUUUCUCAGUGGUGCCUAGAGGCAUGACAAGAGGCAAGGGUAAAUACUGGGGCCGAUAGUGCUUAACUUCUCUAUUAAUGACCUGGAUGAUGGGGCAGAGUGCCUCCUCAGCAAGUUUGCAGAUGACACCAAACUGGGAGGAGUGGUGGAUAGACGGAUGGUUGGUGCUGCUGUUCAAAGGGACCUUGACAGGCUGGAGAAAUGGGCAGAGAUGAACCUCCUGGAGUUCAACAGAGGUACAUGCCAAGUCCUGCCCCAGGGAGGAAUAACCCCAGGCACCAGUACAGGCUGGGGGUCGACCAGCUGGAGAGCAGCUUUGCAGAAAAAGACUUGGUGGUCCUAGUGGACAUGAGCCAGCAAAGUGCCCGUGUGGCAAAGAAGGCCAAUGGCAUCCUGGGCUGCAUUAGGCUGCCAGCAGGUUGUGGGAGAUGAUCCUUCCCCUCCCAUCAUCCUUGGUGAGGCCACAUCUGGAGUGCUGGGUCCAGUGCUGGCCUCCCCAGUACCGGAAGGACAAGGAUGUACUGAAGCAUGUCCAGCGAGGGACCACAAAGAUGAUUAAGGGACUGGAGAAUCUGUCAUAUGAGAAGAGGCUGCAAGAGCUGGGAUUGCUCAUCCUGGAGAAAGAGAAAUUACCCAUAUGGCUGGAAGAGCAUAGAGAAGAGAGGAUUUCAGGAAGAAAGAGAUGAGCAUCAAAUAAAAGAAAAACACAUGUGCUUUGUGAGAACCUGUUAAUAAAGCCAAGCCCCAGAGAAAAUGAUAGCUGAGUGUGAAUAGCCCACAGUGAGCAUAUUUUGGAGUGGAGGAGGAAUACCACAAACCCAAACUCCUGAGAUUAUUAUGUGACUACGUGAAAAAUGUGCUCCCAGGGCACAGAACAGCAGGGGAUUGUUCUCUUUGCUGCGGACGCUGCGUACUCUCAACGCACUCUCAUGUAAGAUCUGACAGGGAGUACUGCAGGCAGAGUGUUUUACUGCAUCUGUUUCAUGGAUGGGAAAGAGGUGUUGAAAAGCACAAUGAUUUUCCUCAGUCUGCAAAGCAAGCCCCACAGCAGAGCUGCAACCUGCAGACAUUGGUACAUUCUCAAGAGAGACUGAUUCAUGUCUUUUUUGGUGAUCAGUCCAUAUGCACUUUAUGUGACCUUUUACAGCUCCUUUUCUUCUGAAGCUGUUAAAUGUCAGUCAUAAAUCUGUGCAGGGCGUUAAGGGGACAAUCGUACAUCAUUUUAAUAGGUGGUGACAGUCCCGUGGCCAGAUCUGCUGUGAAGAUUCAAAUUCAGGACCUGCCGCGGUUUCUGUGGGAUGGAGGGGGAUUGUGCUGUGCGUAGCUGUAUUUCUGCCACGGGAUCCAGGCUGUGCACUGCAUGUGGUUACAGAAGAUUAUAGAGACUGGCUGUUCCAAGGGGUCCUCUAAGAGUCGGGCCGAAAAGGGAAGCUGAUGGAGAAGGAAGGAGGUCACGAAGAGAUGUCUGUCUUGAGACAAACGUCAGAUGAUGCUGACUGCCUGCCUGUCCUUCAGGCAGAUUGCUGUCCAUGUCUUUUCAGUUUUUCUUUUUAAGUUGUAACACUGUAAAUAAAGAAUAUUUAAAUCACCCCCAUAUAGACUGUCUUUUGCCGCUGGUAAGUUUGUGAUCCGUGUAAAGUGCUUUUAGCAAUGUAAUGACACUGGCAGGGUUCUUAAAAGUUCAGCAAUUCAGCCGAACUCCAAAAGCAGGCCAGGCUCAUGUCACAGCCUGUGAUUUUCAUUGUCCAAACCCUUUUCUUCUUUAAAACAAAAGCGGCAUCUUAGCAGGUUUAUGUACUAUUAAAACAACUGCAAAAGAGUA